ACACAGGAUCGAAUAUUCAUCGGUGCGCGCUCUUUUUUUUUUCUCACGAGCCCACUGCCACCUUUGACCAAAGGACGAAAGCACCGUGACGAACCAACCGUGAAAAUGGCGGAUAGCUACGUGCAAACCGAGUUACGUUACGACGUCGAGAUGUGUAUGUUUAGCUGGCAAUUUCCUGCCUGGAUUCACCCUUUCGAUUAUUUAGCUGUCGAACCGUGAAUCGAAUGCAUCAGCAAUCAGUGCGAGCUCGUGACCGAAUCUCGAAACGAAAUUCGAACUUUCGAAUUUUCAAGGAACGAAAAAAAUACUUAUUUUGAAUCGUGCAACUGUGAAGAACUGUGGCAGAAAAAAGAGAAGAAUGGACAGCAGCUGCUAGACGACCGACAAAUUAGUCGGAAUUCACAUAUAUGGCAUCGAUUACAAGUUUCCUGAACGUGAGCAACGGGCAUAAACGACCAGCCAUAGAAAGCGUCGAAGAAACGAAAAAUUUAUAUGUAUUUGCAUGUUAACGAUAUAUCCACAUUAUUUUUCGAGGAUUCGAAGUUAUAAAUGCAAUGACAAGCAAGGAGGCAAAACGCGAAGACGAUGAUCGUCGCAAUAAAUGACGGCGUAACGAAUGGAACAGCAAUUUUCCGGACUGGUGGACUUACAUUCUAAACGGAUGUACUAUUAUUAGAUCGCAGUUUGAUAUUGGCUUUGCCUUUCAAUUAAUAUGGGAAAGCCUCGAGGCUUAUCUGAUCUACGAUCUCUCUAGUUUUAAUCUGGAAAAAAUCAAUUAACUAAAUGAUCUUAUCGUAUUAAAUUUGAUAAUAAAUUAAACGUAACGAUCGCUUUGUUCGAUAAAAUUCAUGCCUUAUUUUUUUUUUUCUUCUUUGUUUAUAAAGGACGUUCAAGGCGAAGCGAU